CCUUCGGGUGANUUGUUGGGCGGCGAGCGGCGGACGGGUGAGUAAUGCCUGGGAAUAUGCCCUGAUGUGGGGGAUAACCAUUGGAAACGAUGGCUAAUACCGCAUAAUCUCUUCGGAGCAAAGAGGGGGACCUUCGGGCCUCUCGCGUCAGGAUUAGCCCAGGUGAGAUUANCUUGUUGGUGAGGUAAGAGCUCACCAAGGCAACGAUCUCUAGCUGGUCUGAGAGGAUGAUCAGCCACACUGGAACUGAGACACGGUCCAGACUCCUACGGGAGGCAGCAGUGGGGAAUAUUGCACAAUGGGGGAAACCCUGAUGCAGCCAUGCCGCGUGUAUGAAGAAGGCCUUCGGGUUGUAAAGUACUUUCAGUUGUGAGGAAGGCGUAUACGUUAAUAGCGUAUGUGUUUGACGUUAGCAACAGAAGAAGCACCGGCUAACUCCGUGCCAGCAGCCGCGGUAAUACGGAGGGUGCGAGCGUUAAUCGGAAUUACUGGGCGUAAAGCGCAUGCAGGCGGCUUGUUAAGCCAGAUGUGAAAGCCCGGGGCUCAACCUCGGAAUAGCAUUUGGAACUGGCAGGCUAGAGUCUUGNANAGGGGGGUAGAAUUUCNGGUGUAGCGGUGAAAUGCGUANAGAUCUGAAGGAAUACCGGUGGCGAAGGCGGCCCCCUGNACNAANACUGACGCUCAGAUGCGAAAGCGUGGGGAGCAAACAGGANUANAUACCCNGGNAGUCCACGCCGUANCGAUGNCNACUNGAGCUGGA
rnacentral:rRNA from 1 species